rnacentral:rRNA from 1 species
GGGGGACCUUCGGGCCUCUUGCCAUCGGAUGUGCCCAGAUGGGAUUAGCUAGUAGGUGGGGUAACGGCUCACCUAGGCGACGAUCCCUAGCUGGUCUGAGAGGAUGACCAGCCACACUGGAACUGAGACACGGUCCAGACUCCUACGGGAGGCAGCAGUGGGGAAUAUUGCACAAUGGGCGCAAGCCUGAUGCAGCCAUGCCGCGUGUAUGAAGAAGGCCUUCGGGUUGUAAAGUACUUUCAGCGGGGAGGAAGGGAGUAAAGUUAAUACCUUUGCUCAUUGACGUUACCCGCAGAAGAAGCACCGGCUAACUCCGUGCCAGCAGCCGCGGUAAUACGGAGGGUGCAAGCGUUAAUCGGAAUUACUGGGCGUAAAGCGCACGCAGGCGGUUUGUUAAGUCAGAUGUGAAUCCCUCGGGCUG